GUCCUCAGAUCCACAAAAGUUUCUACAGCUGCAACAUCAGGAGCAGCCUGACUGGUUGCAUCACUGCCUGGUAGGGCAAUUGCUCGGCCUCCGACCGCAAGGCACUAGAGGGUAGUGCGUAUGGCCCAGUUCAUCACUGGGGCUAAGCUGCCUGCCAUCCAGAACUUCUACACCAGGCAGUGUCAGAGGAAGGCCCUAGAAAUUGUCAAAGACCCCAGCCAUAGACAGUUCUCUCUACUACCCCAUGGCAAGCCAUACCGGAGUGCCAAGUCUAGGACAAAAAGGCUUCGCAAACAGUUUUUACCCCCAAACCAUAUGACCCCUGAACAGGUAAUCAAAUGGCUACCCAGACUAUUUGCAUUGUGUGCCUCCCCAACCACUCUUUUACACUGCUGCUACUCUCUGUUUAUCAUAUAUAUAUAUAUACCAUACCAUACCAAGAUGGCAAGAUGGCAUAGCAGUCAGACGUCCUUUGUCCUCGUCUUGUCGUGUCCCGUGUAUAUAUAUAUAUAUAUUUACAUAUUUUCUUCGCAUAUCUUUUCCAAUAUUUUUUUCCCAAAAUACUCAACUUCAAAACACUCUCCUGCAAACCACCUCACCAAUUUAAAAAAAAAAAAAAAAAGUAUUAUUCACCUCAAAUCUGAAAUCUGCAAUAGAAGCUAGCCAGAAACUAGCCAGGUAACUACAACAUUUUCAGACAAGAUAGAACGGCCAAAGGGGUGGUGUUGCAAUCUACUGCAGAGAUAGCCUGCAGAGUUCUGUCCUACUGUGCCCAAACAAUUUGAACUUCUACUUUUAAAAAUCCACCUCUCUAAAAAACAAAUCUCUCACCGUUGCCGCCUGCAAAAGACCACCCUCUGCCCCCAGCUGUGCUCUGGACACCAUAUGUGAACUGAUUGCCCCCCAUCUGUCUUCAGAGCUCGUGCUGCUAGGUGACCUAAACUGGAACAUGCUUAACACCCCAGCCAUCCUACAAUCUUGAUGCCCUCAAUCUCACACAAAUUAUCAAUGAACCUACCAGGUACCACCCCAAAACCGUAAACACGGACCUCCACUCAUCACUGUCAAACGCUCCCUGAAACACUUCACCGAGCAGGCCUUUCUAAUCGACCUGGCCCGG
ensembl:lncRNA